rnacentral:rRNA from 1 species
GACGAACGCUGGCGGCGUGCUUAACACAUGCAAGUCGAACGGAAAGGCCUGCUUUCCCUUGUGGAUUGCGGGUACUCGAGUGGCGAACGGGUGAGUAACACGUGAGUGAUCUGCCCCCAACUUGGGUAUAAGCCUGGGAAACUGGGUCUAAUUCCCGAUAGGACUGCAGGGUGGUGCCUGUGGUGGAAAACGAUUUUCUAGUGGUUGGGGAUGAGCUCGCGGCCUAUCAGCUUGUUGGUGGGGUAAUGGCCUACCAAGGCGGCGACGGGUAGCCGGCCUGAGAGGGUGGACGGCGACAUUGGGACUGAGAUACGGCCCAGACUGCUACGGGAGGCAGCAGUGGGGAAUAUUGCACAAUGGGCGGAAGCCUGAUGCAGCGACGCAGCGUGGGGGAUGACGGCCUUCGGGUUGUAAACUCCUUUCGACCGCGAGGAAGCCACCUGGUUGGAAGGGUGGUGACGGUAGUGGUAGAAGAAGCACCGGCUAACUACGUG